rnacentral:rRNA from 1 species
UGAGGAAUAUUGCGCAAUGGAGGCAACUCUGACGCAGCCAUGCCGCGUGCAGGAAGAAGGCGCUACGCGUUGUAAACUGCUUUUAACCGGGAAGAAACCCCAGGACGUGUCCUGGGUUGACGGUACCGGAGGAAUAAGCACCGGCUAACUUCGUGCCAGCAGCCGCGGUAAUACGAAGGGUGCAAGCGUUAUCCGGAUUCAUUGGGUUUAAAGGGUGCAUAGGCGGGGCAAUAAGUCAGUGGUGAAAUCCUGCGGCUUAACCGUAGAAUUGCCAUUGAUACUGUUGCUCUUGAGUAGGCUCGACGUGGGCGGAAUGUGCCGUGUAGCGGUGAAAUGCUUAGAUAUGGCACAGAACACCGAUAGUGAAGACAGCUCACGAGGGCCAAACUGACGCUGAGGCACGAAAGCGUGGGGAUCGAACAG